AGGAGACGGGACACAACAUCUGUGGUCAUGUGCCGGAGAGAGACAUGAUGGGAAGGAAUUAUAGGAGAAGGGAACAGACCCCAGGAGACGGGACACAACAUCUGUGGUCAUGUGCCGGAGAGAGACAGAAGGGGAAGGAAUUAUAGGAGAAGGGAACAGACCCCAGGAGACGGGACACAACAUCUGUGGUCAUAAGCUGGGAGCACUCGGGACAUUCUGAGAGUCCCGAUUCCCUCUCUCAAAUGCAGACCGGGACCUGGGACCCUAACACCUGUACUAUUUGAGGGACCUGGGACCCUAACACCUGUACUAUUUGAGGGACCUGGGACCUGAAAUGCCAAAUUUUUUUAGACCCAUCAUGAAAAGUGUUUUUAUAACCUUUAAUAGUAGAGUUAUGGAUAGAGUUAGGAACAAGGGGAUAGUCGCAAAUAAUAGUCAAAUAGUUGUAGUUUCUUGUGAUAUAAAGCAAUUGGUUAUAGCAGUUAUGGUUUCUGAGUUAUAGGCAUCCAAAGUUAGGGUUACCAAAAAAUUCUGAAACGCCAUUUUUUAGACCGAUCAUGAAAAGUUUUUAUAACCCUUAAUAGUAGAGUUAUGGAUAGAGUGAGGAAGAUGGGGAUAGUCGCAAAUAAUAGUCAAAUAGUUGUAGUUUCUUGUGAUAUAAAGCAAUUGGUUAUAGCAGUUAUGGAUUCUGAGUUAUAGGCAUCCAAAUUUAGGGUUACCAAAAAAUUCUGAAAUGCCAAAUUUUUUUAGACCCAACAUGAAAAGUUUUUAUAACCUUUAAUAGUAGAGUUAUGGAUAGAGUUAGGGACAUGGGAAUAGUCACAAAUAAUAGUCAAAUAGUUGUAGUUUCUUGUGAUAUAAAGCAAUUGGUUAUAGCAGUUACGGUUCCUGAGUUAUAGGCAUCCAAAGUUAGGGUUACCAAAAAAUUCUGAAACUCCUACUUUUUAGACCCAUGAAAAGUUUUUGUAACCUUUAAUAGUAGAGUUAUGGAUAGAGUUAGGGACAUGGGAAUAGUCGCAAAUAAUAGUCAAAUAGUUGUAGUUUCUUGUGAUAUAAAGCAAUUGGUUAUAGCAGUUAUGGAUUCUGAGUUAUAGGCAUCCAAAUUUAGGGUUACCAAAAAAUUCUGAAACUCCAACUUUUUAGACCCACCAUGAGAUGUUUUUUAUAACCUUUAAUAGUAGAGUUAUGGAUAGAGUUAGGGACAUGGGAAUAGUCACAAAUAAUAGUCAAAUAGUUGUAGUUUCUUGUGAUAUAAAGCAAAUGGUUAUAGAGGUUACGGUUCCUGAGUUAUAGGCAUCCAAAGUUAGGGUUACCAAAAAAUUCUGAAACUCCAACUUUUUAGACCCACCAUGAGAAGUUUUAUAUAACCUUUAAUAGUAGAGUUAUGGAUAGAGUUAGGGACAUGGGAAUAGUCACAAAUAAUAGUCAAAUAGUUGUAGUUUCUUGUGAUAUAAAGCAAAUGGUUAUAGAGGUUAGGGUUCCUGAGUUAUAGGCAUCCAAAGUUAGGGUUACCAAAAUAUUGUGAAACUCCAACUUUUUAGACCCAUCAUGAAAAGUUUUUAUAACCUUUAAUAGUAGAGAUAUGGAUAGAGUUAGGGACAUGGGAAUAGUCGCAAAUAAUAGUCAAAUAGUUGUAGUUUCUUGUGAUAUAAAGCAAAUGGUUAUAGCAGUUAUGGAUUCUGAGUUAUAGGCAUCCAAAGUUAGGGUUACCAAAAAAUUGUGAAACUCCUACUUUUUAGACCCACCAUGAGAUGUUUUUUAUAACCUUUAAUAGUAGAGUUAUGGAUAGAGUUAGGGACAUGGGAAUAGUCACAAAUAAUAGUCUAAUAGUUGUAGUUUCUUGUGAUAUAAAGCAAAUGGUUAUAGACAUUACGGUUCCUGAGUUAUAGGCAUGCAAAGUUAGGGUUACCAAAAAAUUCUGAAACUCCUACUUUUUAGACCCACCAUGAGAAGUUUUAUAUAACCUUUAAUAGUAGAGUUAUGGAUAGAGUUAGGGACAUGGGAAUAGUCGCAAAUAAUAGACAAAUAGUUGUAGUUUCUUGUGAUAUAAAGCAAAUGGUUAUAGAGGUUAGGGUUCCUGAGUUAUAGGCAUCCAAAGUUAGGGUUACCAAAAUAUUGUGAAACUCCAACUUUUUAGACCCAUCAUGAAAAGUUUUUAUAACCUUU